AAUGGGCGCAAGCCUGAUCCAGCCAUACCGCGUGGGUGAAGAAGGCCUUCGGGUUGUAAAGCCCUUUUGUUGGGAAAGAAAUCCAGCCGGCUAAUACCUGGUUGGGAUGACGGUACCCAAAGAAUAAGCACCGGCUAACUUCGUGCCAGCAGCCGCGGUAAUACGAAGGGUGCAAGCGUUACUCGGAAUUACUGGGCGUAAAGCGUGCGUAGGUGGUCGUUUAAGUCCGUUGUGAAAGCCCUGGGCUCAACCUGGGAACUGCAGUGGAUACUGGGCGACUAGAGUGUGGUAGAGGGUAGCGGAAUUCCUGGUGUAGCAGUGAAAUGCGUAGAGAUCAGGAGGAACAUCCAUGGCGAAGGCAGCUACCUGGACCAACACUGACACUGAGGCACGAAAGCGUGGGGAGCAAACAGGAUUAGAUACCCUGGUAGUCCACGCCCUAAACGAUGCGAACUGGAUGUUGGGUGCAAUUUGGCACGCAGUAUCGAAGCUAACGCGUUAAGUUCGCCGCCUGGGGAGUACGGUCGCAAGACUG
rnacentral:rRNA from 1 species